rnacentral:snRNA from 1 species
GGAAAGGUUCCAUGUGAACGG